AGGUUGGAGCUCUCAUGAGUGGGAGCUCUCAUUAAUGGCUUUAUAAAAGAGAUCCUGAAGAGCUCCCUUGUGAGGACACAGCAAGAAGAGAACUACCAGGAAGUGGACUCACCAGACAUAGAAUCUGUCCACACCCUAACCUCAGACUUCCCAGCAUCCAGAACUAUGAGAAAUCAAGUGCUGUACUCCUGGCACCCAGAACAAUGUCUGGCACAAAGCAGAUGAUUGAAAAUGUACAAAAAUCAAUGGACAUGCCAGAACUUUGGAGCACCAGAUGAGCAGUUCUAGUUUCAAGAGAGGAAAACAACUCACUCAGGAGGAUUCAUAAAUAGCUGCCUUUAACCUCCACUUCUGCUUUGUGUGUAGCUUUGCCCAAGUGGCCAUGUCCUGCUCUAUGGCUCACAUUUGUGUCCAUUACCCCUGGAGUC